rnacentral:lncRNA from 1 species
AGUAAAUUGACAACAACUUGUCUACACAUCUCCUGAACAGGAAAUACAACGGAGCAUCGUUCGUAGCUGUUACCUUGACACUACGCAACACAGCUUGUGCGUCCUAGGCAGCAAACCAACAACGUUGAACAAACAUUGCCUACAAAUAGUUGAUUUACAUCAUGGAUCCAAGUCACGCGGAACAGCAAGAAGAGGUUCAGCCCCCAGAGGGAGAUGUCACUGAAGAACCAGAAGAAAAUCCGUCUAAAACAACAAAUGUAGAUGAAAAUGCCGAGACUAGGCGAGUGCGUGAACUUACCGAAAAGG